UUGAACCUACGGGGGGCAGCAGUGGGGAAUAUUGCGCAAUGGGGGAAACCCUGAUGCAGCGACGCCGCGUGAGUGAAGAAGUAUUUCGGUAUGUAAAGCUCUCUCAGCAGGGAAGAUAAUGACGGUACCUGACUAAGAAGCCCCGGCUAACUACGUGUCAGCAGCCGCGGUAAUACGUAGGGGGCAAGCGUUAUCCGGAUUUACUGGGUGUAAAGGAUGCGUAGGUGGCAGGGCAAGUCAGAUGUGAAAGCCCGGGGCUCAACUCCGGUACUGCAUUUGAAACUGUCCAGCUGGAGUGCAGGAGG
rnacentral:rRNA from 1 species